rnacentral:rRNA from 1 species
UACGGAGGAUGCAAGCGUUAUCCGGAUUCAUUGGGUUUAAAGGGUGCGCAGGCGGAACGGUAAGUCAGUGGUGAAAGCCUACAGCUCAACUGUAGAAUUGCCAUUGAUACUGUCGUUCUUGAGUAUAGUUGGAGUGGGCGGAAUGUAUCAUGUAGCGGUGAAAUGCUUAGAUAUGAUACAGAACACCAAUCGCGAAGGCAGCUCACUAAGCUAUAACUGACGCUCAUGCACGAAAGCGUGGGGAGCAAACAGG